ACCGUCGUCCCAAACUGAGUACACCAUACAUUCAGAGCCCUAAAAACUAAAGCCGACACGGAUCAUCAUCCAACCAUUCCCGAUCUUCAAUUUCUCCAAGAUACAAACGCUAGCUUCCGUUUGAUUUCCAAAUCGCCUCUUUCACGUCUUCCUGUUCUUUCUGAUUCAUCUUCUACAAUGGAGUUCGAAUCCAUCUAAACGUAAUCAUCCAAUUUUCUAGAUCAUAUUUUUGUUGUUUUGGCUUCAAUUAAUCAAGUCAAUGAAGUCGAUGAAAUGAAACGAAGAGUGGAUUUAGGCGAGCAAUUCAGUUAUUCGAGGAGGAAACGAAGAGGAUUCUUGAAACAUAUUCUUACCACAUAUGUGUUGCCUAAUCUUGAGAUCUAAGGAUUGAAUAUCCAAUUUGGAAUUUGAUGAAUAAGGAUAAGGUGGAAUUAGUGGUCUCGUGCUUAGCUUCUUCUGAGGUUUAUCAUCGUGAACUCAUGGCUUACAAGAACCAAUCAUGAUGGUGAAAGCUAACGGCUUCUUCGUUUCUAUGUUAACGUCGGUUGUAAAUGGGCUGGUAGUUUGUAAUCAAGUCAUAAACAUGAUGUAUGCUUGUGAUUUAGGGCGAUUGUAUCUCCUUUGGCAUUACUGUUGAAGAUGAUUGCACCUUCGUUUUGACAACUCAGGCAUCUACUAAGGGAAUUGUGACAUUCGACUCGACCAUCCAUUUUUAUAAUCUGAAACGUGCAUUCCAGCAGCCUUUGAUGCUCAUAGUUCCCGACGUACAAGAUGUUUACACUCCACUUCAAACCGAUUUUAUUGUUCAGAUUUCCGAGGGUUUGUCAUACAACUUCUUGGAAACAUAUAUAUACUUUUACUUUACUCCAUAAUACUCUCACAUCGAUUUGUAUUAGUUUCCUUCACAAGUUUACAACUUAAUCGUGGUGAUCCAUGGAGUGUGCAUAGAAUAUGAACCGCAUUAAAGACGACCGUAGAUGUGGAUGGCGAUUGUAUCUCCUUUGACAUUACUGUUGAAGAUGAUUGCACCGUUGUUUUGACAACUCAGGCAUCUACUAAGGGAAUUGUGGCUACGGUGGUGGCGGAUUAGUGAUGGUUUGACAGUGGCUGCGGUGGUAGCGAUGGCUGUGGUGGUGGCAAUGUGGUUGACGGUGGUUGCGGUGGUGGCGAUGGUUGACGGUGGUGGUGUUGGUUGACGGUGGUGGUGUUGGUUGACGGUGGUGGCGUUGGUUGACGGUAGCUAAGGUGGUGGCUUCGGCUGAUGAUGGUUGUCGUAGAGUAGAUGGUUGGUGCUGGGUACGUUGUUGGGGAUGGUUCGGGUGGUGACGAGUGUGGGCAGUCAUAAGCAAUUGGGGUAACACAUGAAAGAAAAAGAUGAACGACAAGCUGUACCACCAAUACAGGCUGACAGAUGGCAAUCGAAGUUGGGUUCAGUGGCUCUACGAUUCGGGAUAAUUGGUAACUUGUGUCUAGCAUUUUUGUUCUUCCCAGUGACUCGAGGAUCGGUUAUAUUGUCACUGUUCGGGCUAACUUCUAAGGCCUGCAUCAAGUAUCACAUAUGGCUAGGCCAUAUUGUUAUGACCCUCUUCACUUCUCAUGGUGUUUGUUACAUUAUUUAUUGGAUAGUCACCAAGCAGACAUCAGAGGUUGUAAAUGGGCUGGUAGUUUGUAAUCAAGUCAUAAACAUGAUGUAUGCUUGUGAUUUAGGGCGAUUGUAUCUCCUUUGACAUUACUGUUGAAGAUGAUUGCAUUGCUGUUUUGACAACUCAGGCAUCUACUAAGGGAAUUGUGACAUUCGACUCGACCAUCCAUUUUUAUAAUCUGAACCGUGCAUUAGAGCAGCCUCUGAUGCUCAUAGUUCCCGACGUACAAGAUGUUUGCAGUCCACUUCAAAUCGAUUUUAUUGUUCAGCUUUCCGAGGUUGUCGAGAUUUGACCGCAAUAUGGUCGGCUUGGUGCCUGUGUACUCUGAUGUACUUGCCACCAUGCCACCCGAAAUCACACAUUCGCCACCUUUCGCACCAUGCUCGAGCUGGCCAAUGUUUUCCCUUUGCAAAACAUGUUAGUUCACCGCCGCAAUGCGCGGGUGGAGACAAGAGCAAUCCUUGCAAUCAGCAUCACUGAAACAUGGGUCCAGGUGGAGACAAAAGCAAUCCUAAUUGCAACAAGUGUCUCUUCAGGACAAGAAUGAUGAAUGCCGAAAGUUUUUUAGUCGUUUGCAAGGAUCUUUGACAUUUUGGGAAGGCCGCUUCCCUAUUGAUGCAAAGAUCUUUCGUUUCAAAUUUUAUGUCUAACACUGUUAAAUAUUAUACAAUUUACUUUGAAU
rnacentral:lncRNA from 1 species